GUUGUAGCUCAGUUGGUAGAGCAUUUGCCUGGCAUUUAAAAGGCCCUAGGUUCAAUCCCUAGUACUACA
rnacentral:tRNA from 1 species